rnacentral:rRNA from 2 species
GGGUUGUGAGGUUAAGCGACUAAGCGUACACGGUGGAUGCCCUGGCAGUCAGAGGCGAUGAAGGACGUGCUAAUCUGCGAAAAGCGACGGCGAGGUGAUAUGAACCUUUGACCCGUCGAUGUCCGAAUGGGGAAACCCAGUGUGUUUCGACACACUAUCGUUAACUGAAUACAUAGGUUAACGAGGCGAACCGGGGGAACUGAAACAUCUAAGUACCCCGAGGAAAAGAAAUCAACCGAGAUUCCCCCAGUAGCGGCGAGCGAACGGGGAGCAGCCCGGAGUCUGAAUCAGCUUGUGUGUUAGUGGAACGGUCUGGAAAGUCCGACGGUACAGGGUGAUAGUCCCGUACACGAAAAUGCACAUGCUGUGAACUCGAAGAGUAGGGCGGGACACGUGGUAUCCUGUCUGAAUAUGGGGGGACCAUCCUCCAAGGCUAAAUACUCCUGACUGACCGAUAGUGAACCAGUACCGUGAGGGAAAGGCGAAAAGAACCCCGGCGAGGGGAGUGAAAAAGAACCUGAAACCGUGUACGUACAAGCAGUGGGAGCACCUUCGGGUGUGACUGCGUACCUUUUGUAUAAUGGGUCAGCGACUUAUAUUCUGUAGCAAGGUUAACCGUAUAGGGGAGCCGAAGGGAAACCGAGUCUUAACUGGGCGUUAAGUUGCAGGGUAUAGACCCGAAACCCGGUGAUCUAGCCAUGGGCAGGUUGAAGGUUGGGUAACACUAACUGGAGGACCGAACCGACUAAUGUUGAAAAAUUAGCGGAUGACCUGUGGCUGGGGGUGAAAGGCCAAUCAAACCGGGAGAUAGCUGGUUCUCCCCGAAAGCUAUUUAGGUAGCGCCUCGUGAAUUCAUCUUCGGGGGUAGAGCACUGUUUCGGCUAGGGGGCCAUCCCGGCUUACCAACCCGAUGCAAACUACGAAUACCGAAGAAUGUUAUCACGGGAGACACACGGCGGGUGCUAACGUCCGUCGUGAAGAGGGAAACAACCCAGACCGCCAGCUAAGGUCCCAAAGUCAUGGUUAAGUGGGAAACGAUGUGGGAAGGCACAGACAGCCAGGAUGUUGGCUUAGAAGCAGCCAUCAUUUAAAGAAAGCGUAAUAGCUCACUGGUCGAGUCGGCCUGCGCGGAAGAUGUAACGGGGCUAAACCAUGCACCGAAGCUGCGGCAGCGACGCUUAUGCGUUGUUGGGUAGGGGAGCGUUCUGUAAGCCGUUGAAGGUGUGCUGUGAGGCAUGCUGGAGGUAUCAGAAGUGCGAAUGCUGACAUAAGUAACGAUAAAGCGGGUGAAAAGCCCGCUCGCCGGAAGACCAAGGGUUCCUGUCCAACGUUAAUCGGGGCAGGGUGAGUCGACCCCUAAGGCGAGGCCGAAAGGCGUAGUCGAUGGGAAACAGGUUAAUAUUCCUGUACUUGGUGUUACUGCGAAGGGGGGACGGAGAAGGCUAUGUCAGCCGGGCGACGGUUGUCCCGGUUUAAGCAUGUAGGCGGAGGUUCCAGGUAAAUCCGGUACCUUAUUAACGCUGAGGUGUGAUGACGAGGCACUACGGUGCUGAAGUGAUAAAUGCCCUGCUUCCAGGAAAAGCCUCUAAGCAUCAGGUAACACGAAAUCGUACCCCAAACCGACACAGGUGGUCAGGUAGAGAAUACCAAGGCGCUUGAGAGAACUCGGGUGAAGGAACUAGGCAAAAUGGUGCCGUAACUUCGGGAGAAGGCACGCUGAUAUGUAGGUGAAGCCCAUGCGGGCGGAGCUGAAAUCAGUCGAAGAUACCAGCUGGCUGCAACUGUUUAUUAAAAACACAGCACUGUGCAAACACGAAAGUGGACGUAUACGGUGUGACGCCUGCCCGGUGCCGGAAGGUUAAUUGAUGGGGUUAGCGGCAACGCGAAGCUCUUGAUCGAAGCCCCGGUAAACGGCGGCCGUAACUAUAACGGUCCUAAGGUAGCGAAAUUCCUUGUCGGGUAAGUUCCGACCUGCACGAAUGGCGUAAUGAUGGCCAGGCUGUCUCCACCCGAGACUCAGUGAAAUUGAACUCGCUGUGAAGAUGCAGUGUACCCGCGGCAAGACGGAAAGACCCCGUGAACCUUUACUAUAGCUUGACACUGAACACUGGUCCUUGAUGUGUAGGAUAGGUGGGAGGCUUUGAAGCGUGGACGCCAGUCUGCGUGGAGCCAUCCUUGAAAUACCACCCUUUAAUGGCUGGUGUUCUAACGUAGACCCGUGAUCCGGGUUGCGGACAGUGUCUGGUGGGUAGUUUGACUGGGGCGGUCUCCUCCCAAAGAGUAACGGAGGAGCACGAAGGUUGGCUAAUCCUGGUCGGACAUCAGGAGGUUAGUGCAAUGGCAUAAGCCAGCUUGACUGCGAGCGUGACGGCGCGAGCAGGUGCGAAAGCAGGUCAUAGUGAUCCGGUGGUUCUGAAUGGAAGGGCCAUCGCUCAACGGAUAAAAGGUACUCCGGGGAUAACAGGCUGAUACCGCCCAAGAGUUCAUAUCGACGGCGGUGUUUGGCACCUCGAUGUCGGCUCAUCACAUCCUGGGGCUGAAGUAGGUCCCAAGGGUAUGGCUGUUCGCCAUUUAAAGUGGUACGCGAGCUGGGUUUAGAACGUCGUGAGACAGUUCGGUCCCUAUCUGCCGUGGGCGCUGGAGAAUUGAGGGGGGCUGCUCCUAGUACGAGAGGACCGGAGUGGACGCAUCACUGGUGUUCGGGUUGUCAUGCCAAUGGCACUGCCCGGUAGCUAAAUGCGGAAGAGAUAAGUGCUGAAAGCAUCUAAGCACGAAACUUGCCCCGAGAUGAGUUCUCCCUGAGACCUUGAGUCUCCUGAAGGAACGUUGAAGACGACGACGUUGAUAGGUCGGGUGUGUAAGCGCAGCGAUGCGUUGAGCUAACCGAUACUAAUGAACCGUGAGGCUUAACCUUACAACGCCGAAGGUGUUU